CCUACGGGAGGCAGCAGUGAGGAAUAUUGGUCAAUGGACGCAAGUCUGAACCAGCCAAGUAGCGUGCAGGAUGACGGCCCUCCGGGUUGUAAACUGCUUUUGCCGGGGAGCAACGGGCGUCACGUGUGGCGCCACUGAGAGUACCCGGAGAAAAAGCAUCGGCUAACUCCGUGCCAGCAGCCGCGGUAAUACGGAGGAUGCGAGCGUUAUCCGGAUUUAUUGGGUUUAAAGGGUGCGUAGGCGGAUCGUUAAGUCAGUGGUCAAAUUGAGGGGCUCAACCCCUUCCCGCCAUUGAAACUGGCGUUCUUGAGUGGAAGAGAAGUAUGCGGAAGGCGUGGUGUAGCGGUGAAAUGCAUAGAUAUCACGCAGAACCCCGAUUGCGAAGGCAGCAUGCCGGCUUCCGACUGACGCUGAAGCACGAAAGCGUGGGGAUCGAACAGGAUUAGAUACCCCUGUAGUC
rnacentral:rRNA from 1 species